CCACAAUGAGGUCUUCCCUACUUCCUCGCCUUGGCCCUUUUCUGCCUAGGAAAUACAUGUGAAAUAAGAAAAGCUCCAUUUAUUCUUAAUGGAUACACCUAUGUCUCUAUUUCUGGAGACCUAAAAGUCCCACAUUCAGAUCACACCUCCCUUCUCUCUUCUGGCUUCAUGUGGCCCAUUCCCCACUGGGACUCCCUUCCUGGGUGUCCCCCAAGCCUCUAAUUGGAAUCAUCAGUUCCUACAUCAAGCUCAUUAUCUUCCCUACCAGACUCCUCCAUUCUUGUUUCAAAGCACCACUUGGUUUUCAGACUCAGAAAUCUGAGUUUCAUUCGUGGGGUAGGCUGAACAAUGUCCCCAUUCCUCCAGGAUAUUGACACUCUAAUCCCUGGAAUCUGUGACUACUACCUUAUGCAGCAAAAGGGCUUUUGCAGAUAUGAUGAAGCAUGGGAUUUAGAGAUGAGGUUAUAACCAACCUGGAGAGGCUGAUGUAAUUGCAAGGGUCCUCAUCAGAGGGAUGCUGGAGGGUCAGAAUGAAGAAUAGGAGAAGUGGCAAUGAAGCAAGAGGCUGGAGUGACGUGGCCACAGUUAGGGAGUGCUAAGUCACCAGAAGCUGGAGAAGCAAGGGGUCAUUUCUCUCUGGAGUCUGCAGAAGGAGUCGGCUCUGAUGAUCACUUGAGUUUGGCCUUGUUAACACUCAUAUUGGACUUCUGACCACACAGUGUAUUUUAAGCCACUCUGUUUGUGGAAAUCAGCAGCCAUAGGAAACUAAUA
rnacentral:lncRNA from 1 species